AGUGACUUACUCUCAACAGACCAAUAGUAUAUGGAAGAGAAAAAGCCCAGGCAAAUUUAACCGCCGACAUAACUGACUGAAUAUAAGAAGUCUAGUUCUGAACGAGAUCAUUUGUAAAAUCACAAAGCCAAAAACUUAACAUGUUGCAUGAAAUUCAUCUGUGCUGAUGACUCCAGAAGAUGAUAUGUAGGACUGCUAACAAAGCUGGCAAUCAAGAUAAAGACUUUGACCACAUCAGAUUCCUGAUCUCUUCCUCUGCAUAAGUCUAAUGGAAACCAAGUGGUAAUACUACAGCAAAUGACAUAAGCAAGUGAUACGAGCAUUUGAGACCUGAUAAACUAGGUUCAACAUGAACGUAGGAGUUAGCACUUCCUGUUCAAUACAGAAAAUUGCCUGAAAUAAAAAAGGAACCUAUUCAUGGAAGGAGGAAGUCAUGGCUACCCCAAAAACCUUCCUCAGACCAUCCUACUACCUCACUCCUCAUCAGGUCACU